rnacentral:rRNA from 1 species
ACUCAAAGGAAUUGACGGGGACCCGCACAAGCAGCGGAGCAUGUGGUUUAAUUCGAAGCAACGCGAAAAACCUUACCAAGACUUGACAUCGUAUGACCGCCAUAGAGAUAUGGAAUUCCCUUCGGGGACAUAUAGACAGGUGGUGCAUGGUUGUCGUCAGCUCGUGUCGUGAGAUGUUGGGUUAAGUCCCGCAACGAGCGCAACCCUUGUGAAUAGUUGCCAAUAUUAAGUUAGGAACUCUAUUCAGACUGCCGUGGAUAACACGGAGGAAGGUGGGGAUGACGUCAAAUCAUCAUGCCCCUUACGUCUUGGGCUACACACGUGCUACAAUGGCUAUUACAAAGAGCAGCGAAAUGGUAACAUGAAGCGAAUCUCACAAAGAUAGUCUCAGUUCGGACUGUGGGCUGCAACCCGCCCACACGAAGUAGGAGUUGCUAGUAAUCCCGAAUCAGCAUGUCGGGGUGAAUGCGUUCCCGGGUCUUGUACACACCGCCCGU